CCUUCGGGGGGGGSUGCAGUAGGGAAUCUUCCGCAAUGGACGAAAGUCUGACGGAGCAACGCCGCGUGAGUGAUGAAGGCUUUCGGGUCGUAAAACUCUGUUGUUAGGGAAGAACAAGUACAAGAGUAACUGCUUGUACCUUGACGGUACCUAACCAGAAAGCCACGGCUAACUACGUGCCAGCAGCCGCGGUAAUACGUAGGUGGCAAGCGUUAUCCGGAAUUAUUGGGCGUAAAGCGCGCGCAGGCGGUUUCUUAAGUCUGAUGUGAAAGCCCACGGCUCAACCGUGGAGGGUCAUUGGAAACUGGGGAACUUGAGUGCAGAAGAGAAAAGCGGAAUUCCACGUGUAGCGGUGAAAUGCGUAGAGAUGUGGAGGAACACCAGUGGCGAAGGCGGCUUUUUGGUCUGUAACUGACGCUGAGGCGCGAAAGCGUGGGGAGCAAACAGGAUUAGAUACCCCC
rnacentral:rRNA from 1 species